UGGGGAAUAUUGCACAAUGGGCGCAAGCCUGAUGCAGCCAUGCCGCGUGUGUGAAGAAGGCCUUCGGGUUGUAAAGCACUUUCAGCGAGGAGGAAGGUGGUGAGCUUAAUACGCUCAUCAAUUGACGUUACUCGCAGAAGAAGCACCGGCUAACUCCGUGCCAGCAGCCGCGGUAAUACGGAGGGUGCAAGCGUUAAUCGGAAUUACUGGGCGUAAAGCGCACGCAGGCGGUUUGUUAAGUCAGAUGUGAAAUCCCCGGGCUCAACCUGGGAACUGCAUUUGAAACUGGCAAGCUAGAGUCUCGUAGAGGGGGGUAGAAUUCCAGGUGUAGCGGUGAAAUGCGUAGAGAUCUGGAGGAAUACCGGUGGCGAAGGCGGCCCCCUGGACGAAGACUGACGCUCAGGUGCGAAAGCGUGGGGAGCAAAACAGGAUUAGAUACCCUGGUAGUCCACGCUGUAAACGAUGUCGAUUUUGGAGGUUGUGCCCCUUGAGGCGUGGNUUCCGGAGCUAACGCGUUAAAUCGACCGCCUGGGGAGUACGGCC
rnacentral:rRNA from 1 species